rnacentral:rRNA from 1 species
GACGGAGGGGGCAAGCGUUGUCCGGACUUACUGGGCGUAAAGCGCACGUAGGCGGCGUGGUGCGUCGGUGCUGAAAGCGCCAGGCUUAACCUGGCGAGGCGUGCCGAUACGACCAUGCUGGAGGUAGGCAGAGGGUGGCGGAAUUCCGGGUGUAGUGGUGAAAUGCGUAGAGAUCCGGAGGAACGCCGGUGGGGAAGCCGGCCACCUGGGCCUGACCUGACGCUGAGGUGCGAAAGCGUGGGGAGCAAACCGGAUUAGAUACCCGGGUAGUCCACGCAGUAAACGAUGCUAGCUCGGUGUCUGAGGCUCGUUCGAGUCUUGGGUGCCUAAGCACACGCGGUAAGCUAGCCGCCUGGGGACUACGAGCGCAAGCUUAAA